rnacentral:tRNA from 1 species
AAGAUUUUAAGUUAAAAAAACUAAUAGCCUUCAAAACUAUAAAUAUAAGAAAACUCUUUUAAGUCUUA